rnacentral:rRNA from 1 species
UACGAAGGGGGCUAGCGUUGCUCGGAAUCACUGGGCGUAAAGCGCACGUAGGCGGAUCUUUAAGUCAGGGGUGAAAUCCUGGAGCUCAACUCCAGAACUGCCUUUGAUACUGCAAAUCUCGAGUCCGAUAGAGGUGGGUGGAAUUCCUAGUGUAGAGGUGAAAUUCGUAGAUAUUAGGAAGAACACCGGUGGCGAAGGCGGCCCACUGGAUCGGUACUGACGCUGAGGUGCGAAAGCGUGGGGAGCAAACAGG